UACGGAGGGUGCAAGCGUUAUCCGGAUUCACUGGGUUUAAAGGGUGCGUAGGUGGGCUGGUAAGUCCGUUGUGAAAGUCAAAGGCUCAACCUUUGAAAGCCGAUGGAUACUGCAGGGCUAGAGUCCGGAAGAGGCGAGUGGAAUUCCUGGUGUAGCGGUGGAAUGCGCAGAUAUCAGGAGGAACACCCAUAGCGAAGGCAGCUCGCUGGGACGGUACUGACGCUAAGGCGCGAAAGCGUGGGGAGCGAACAGG
rnacentral:rRNA from 1 species